GACGAACGCUGGCGGCGUGCCUAAUACAUGCAAGUAGAACGAGUUGCGAACGGGUGAGUAACGCGUGGUAACCUGCCUCAUAGCGGGGGAUAACUAUUGGAAACGAUAGCUAAUACCGCAUACUGUGAGAUGGAUCUGCGUUGUAUUAGCUUGUGGGUGGGGUAACGGCUCACCAAGGCGACGAUCCCUAGCUGGGCUGAGAGGAUGACCAGCCACACUGGAACUGAGACACGGUCCAGACUCCUACGGGAGGCAGCAGUGGGGAAUAUUGCACAAUGGGCGAAAGCCUGAUGCAGCCAUGCCGCGUGUAUGAAGAAGGCCUUCGGGUUGUAAAGUACUUUCAGCGGGGAGGCGUUACCCACAGAAGAAGCACCGGCUAACUCCGUGCCAGCAGCCGCGGUAAUAC
rnacentral:rRNA from 1 species